rnacentral:lncRNA from 1 species
GAUACACUAUCAUUGCAAGAGAAGGAGCGAAGGUUGUCCUUCGUAGCGACAGAGGCGUUCAGUACUCACGCAAUGUCCAAGAUGUAAAGAAAGUUCCAGAUUGUCUGAAGGAACCCGUAGAUGGCACGAUGAUUGAUGAAAGUACAAAUGAUUCGUGUAAAACAGAUGUGGAUCUCGAUGGAAGCUUACCUGCAAUCGAAGUGAACUCUGGAGCAGUUGAAGAGGAGGAGCGGCCAAGGAGGACAAUUAAGAAACCAAAUAGGUUCAAGGAUAUGGUGCUUUACUAUAUCUUUUAAAAUAAUUACAGAUUCAUCCUACGACGACACUUAUUGGAUUCCGGAUUUGAGCAAGCCUAUAGCUACUGAAUGGAGGAGUAUGAAACAAUGUAGUGAUACUAAUGGAAAUGGUUCAUCGUACGGCAACAACUAUUCGAUCCUGGGUUGGAGCUCGUCUGAAACAUUCAAAUGAUUUUUAUCGAUAUGAUUCAAAAUAUAAGAAUUACGACAUUGUAAUAGAAAAAAAAGAACAGAAUAUAUGAUUGCAAUACAAAAUAAACAAAAUGGAGCUAGUAAUUAGAACACUUUAUAAAUUUUGAACAAGAGUAGAGGUGAAGAGUAUUGUAGAAUAAAUGAGCUGUGCAAGGUAAUACAAUAGUAAUAAAAUUUUGUAAAAACAAGACCUAAUUGAAUUUUAUGUUGGAAAUGUGCAUAAAAGAAAAGCAAGU